rnacentral:lncRNA from 1 species
AUGUCUAAAAACAGCUAAGGGUGAAUUGGUCAGGGUUAUGGUAUAAACAGCUAGGGGAAUGGUCCAGGUUAUGUCUAAAACAGCUAGGGGAAUUGGUCAGGGUUAUGUCUAAAACAGCAGGGGGAAUUGGUCAGUGGUUAUGUGUAAAACAGCAGGGGGAAUUGGUCAGGGUUAUGUGUAAAACAGCCAGGGGGAAUUGGUCCGGGUUAUGUCUUAAAACACGCAGGGGGAAUUGGUCAGGUGUAUGUCUAAAACAGCUAGGGGAAUGGUCAGGGUUAUGUGUAAAACAGCAGGGGAAUUGGUCAGGGUUAUGUCUAAAACAGCAGUGGGAGGAAUUGGUCAGGGUUAUGUCUCAAACAGCUGGGGAAUUGGUCAGGGUUAUGUUGUAAAACAGCAGGGGGAAUGGUCAGGGUUAUGUCUAAAACAGCUAGGGGGAAUUGGUUCCGGGUUAUGUCUAAAACAGCUAGGGGGAAUUUUGUCAGGGUUUUAUGUCUAAAACAGCAGGGGGAAUGGUCAGGGUUUGCUAAACAGCAGGGGGAAUUGGUCAGGGUUAUGUAAAACAGCUAGGGGAAUUGGUCAGGGUUAUGCUGUAAAACAGCCGGGGAAUUGGUCAGGGUUAUGUCUAAAACAGCUAGGGGAAUUGGUCAGGGUUGUGUCUAAAACAGCUAGGGGAAUUGGUCAGGGUUAUGUUCAAACACUUGUAGGGGAAUUGGUCAGGGUUAUGUUCAAAACAGCUAGGGGGAAUGUGGUCAGGGUUAUGUCUAAAACAGCUCUGGGAAUUGGUCAGGGUUAUGUCUAAAACAGCUAGGGGAAUUGGUCAGGGUUAUGUCUAAAACAGCUAGGGGAAUUGGUCAGGGUUAUGUCUAAAACAGCUAGGGGAAUUGGUCAGGGUUAUGUGUAAAACACUUUGGGGAAGUAUCCUUAUGGUGAGUAAACUUGGGUAUAAUUUGGGACACAGCCGCAGACACUUGCGGAGUAUGGGGAAUAGAUGUGCCAUUAAACACAUGUAGAAUAUGGGGAAUAGAUGUCCCAUGAGUGACUUGAGGAGUAUGGGGAAUAUAUGUCCCAUUAGAGACUUGAGGAGUAUGGGGAAUAUAUGUCCCAUUAGAGACUUGAGGAGUAUGGGGAAUAGAUGUCCCAUUAGAGACUUGAGGAGUAUGGGGAAUAGAUGUGCCAUUAAAGACUUGAGGAGUAUGGGGAAUAGAUGUCCCAUUAGAGACUAGAGGAGUAUGGGGAAUAGAUAUCCCAUUAGAGACCUGAGCCCUGUGCUCCUCCUGCUAACCGUCUGUCAUACUGGGAAAAUGUUAUACACCCUAAUCUAGAGAUCGCUCCCUGCAUGUGACUGUUGUUUAGGAGGGAGGGAGUUGUCUGAUUCCCCAACUAAACAGCAGAGAUAAUGGAUUUAUCCCCUGUUUAUCGGCCUGGACCGGGCUCAGCCCUGCAACAACACAGGAAUUUCCUGGUGAGAAACAAGUCAGAGAGAAAGGGAGAGAGAUAGAAAGAAAGAAAGAAAGAAAGAAAGAAAGAGAGAAAGAAAAAGAGAAAGAAAGAAAGAAAAAGAGAAAGAGAGAGAAAGAGAAAGACAGAAAGAAAUAGGAGAGGAGAUAGGUACAGGGAGAACUACAGAGAUAGACACAGAGAUAGAUACAGAGAAAAAGACAGAGAUAAAGAGAGGGAAACGAAUUGAUACAGACAUCAUCAACAGCUGUUGAAAUAGGUCAUUGUCUCGUCGGAUCAUUGCACAGAUAUCCUGAACGAUCUAGAAUUCUGUUCACGUUGGAAAAACUUCACAGAGAACCAAAGACCCACCAGCGAUCACACCCUGAUUAGAAACAUCUCAAUCGCCCAGUCCACCUGUUGUCUCAUGCAUGUUGACUGGUCUGACCGUAUAGGGCCCUGGUCAAAAGUACUGCAAGAGAUAGGGAGUGGGGUGUCAUUUCAGACACAGCCUGCCUGGGUCCUGUAAGCAGCACCUCUAGGGCAGGAGACAGGGACACUGUUAUCUCUGGCCUGAUUCCACAGACUGUUUGUUAUUCCAUGGAGUCAGUCUGUACCCUUCCCUCCGAUCACUGAGGAAACUACUGACUCUGCUCUCAGUAAACAUGGCUACUUCCCAGAACGACAACGACAGAUCCAGUCAACAAACCGCAAACUAACCACUGACUUCUGAUAGAGAACCCGGAGACUUGGGAGGAAAUGAUAUUCUGUGUAGAAGGGUAAAGAUAGAGCAGAGAGUUGACGAGAGGAGAGAGGUGAUGGGAGGGCUGAUGUGACACUGGCUCAGAUCAUUAAGGCUAGGGGAGGUGUGGCACAGCAGCGAUGAUCAAUUGACAGUUAAGUCAUUGAAUGCAAAAAGCCACGUGUGCCCAACUCAAAAAAAAAAAAAAUGGUGUG